rnacentral:rRNA from 1 species
GAUGAACGCUGGCGGCGUGCCUAACACAUGCAAGUCGAACGGAGUCCAGCCUUUAAGACCUUCGGGUCAAAGAGGGGAAGACUGAGUGGCGGACGGGUGAGUAACACGUGGGCAACCUGGCUCAUAGAGGGGGAUAACAGAGAGAAAUUUCUGCUAAUACCGCAUAAGCACACACUGCCGCAUGGCAGAGGGUGAAAAGAGAAUCGCUAUGAGAUGGACCCGCGUCUGAUUAGCCAGUUGGCAGGGUAAGAGCCUACCAAAGCGACGAUCAGUAGCCGAUCUGAGAGAAUGAGCGACCACAUUGGGACUGAGACGCGUCCCAGAAUCCUACGCGAGGCAGCAGUGGGGGAUAUUGCACAAUGGGGGGAACCCUGAUGCAGCGACGCCGCGUGAGUGAAGAAGUAUUUCGGUAUGUAAAGCUCUAUCAGCAGGGAAGAUAAUGACAGUACCUGAAUAAGAAGCCCCGGCUAACUACGUG